AAUAGGAACAAACCCAUUAAUAUUCCCUGCUCAAACUUAAGGGCGGAAGCAAAUUCAUCCGUUAAAACAAUCUUAUUUUAAAGCCCCCUACGAAAUGGUUGCCCCAUUUUCGGGCGUCCCAGAUCCGUUUGUAAAUAUUAUAAUAUAAUAAUAAUUAUAGCAUUUGAAGGGAUAUUCCGAUAUGGAAUAACACGUGCGGGCCCAUAAAUACCUUGAACCCCUUUUUCGUGCCCCAGGACAAAUUGCAAAUAACUUCCUUGUUAUUUUAAAAGGCAGACAGAUAAUAAUCAGAUAUAGCGAUUUGCACUAGUUAUUUGUUUUAUAUUUUAAUCCCUACGCGUAAAUAAGGUUUAUAAACAGAAUGCAAGAUGCCCCCAUUAUAAAACGUUAUAUAACUAACAAACUUCAAAACCGGCUAUUUGCUCCAUAUAAGGUUACCUUACAUUUAAUUAUAGCGGGGUCCUUAAUUUACCAGGCUAUUAACGGUUACGUUUCGGCCAGCAUUUUCCAAAUCCUAUGUAACGGUAAUUAUCCCAAUUGGCCCCAAUUCUAUACCAAUACAAACCAGAUUAUAACAAUAUUAAAUGGGCUGUAAUUUUGGACGGUUGUAGGGGCGAACGGCGUGUUUGACACGACGUUAUAGCAGCAGCUAAAAUAGCAACCAUACCAAUACCACAUAUGAUGGGAAAUGUAAUAACAGCAGUUAACGAUAAAUUGGUUAUAGGGACUGUUUUCCACCUAAAGGUGGAAUUUUGCAAAUCGCAGGUCGGUUAAAUGCGGAGGCUCCACACGUUAAUAAUUUCAAUUAUUUUUGUUAAUAUUUUCUUAAUACCACGGUUAUUAGCUCAGGUUUGGUGGGGAGUUUGUAAAUAUGGAUUUUUAAGCUUUUUGGAAUUUUCUUUGUAUUAAGUUAUGUGGCUCGAAAUCGUAAAAAAAUAUGCUAUAUUUAUAUUAAGUAUCGGUGUAAUAAUUCUUAUAAUAUUAUUGCCAAUUUAAGACCAGUGAAAUCGUGCUCGAAAACAGGGAUCCGAAAUAUAUAUAUAAUUGUUUUUCAGGGAUACCAUAGGAUAUCGGCUUACCAGGAUAUUAUAUCCGAAUUUAGGCAAAUUUUAUUAUAAAAGCCUCCCAGUGCAGUUGCAAUUACAGGAAAAUCUUGCCAAAUUAUAUGGUUAUAGCGUUACGUUUAUAUAAAACUUGCCUCUGGUUAUUACCUUUGCUAUUUGGUUCGGAUACCUGGUGCCCCCAAUUACCUUGUUUACAAAUUGCAUGUAAAUAUACCAUUUCGCAUAACCAAACAUAUCCAGCCUGCGGCAAAGCGGCACGACGCAGAAGUUGACGGCUAUAUAACCAAUGGCGAUCCAGGUAAGUAGCUCGGUUUUGCCAAAGUCGGCCAGGAUGGGCACCUGGAUGCUGGGAAUAAAUAUCUGCCUUUUAAGGAUUUUUAAUACAGCCGACCAUAUUUUUGAAAUUCCAUUUGAGGAGUUUUAUUUUGCCCAUCGACAAGUUUGACAAACUAAUUAUAAAGGACGCAAUGUUUAAAAAAUUAAAGGAACGCGGAAUUUCGGAUAGGGAUGUUAAGCAAUUUGCACGUCAGCCCAGGAUUGGAUUGCUAUUAUGGUUCUUUCGCCAAUUUAUAUAAUGCCCAAAAAUAACAAAUGGCAAUACCCCUGAAAGAUUAUAUAUCCUCCUUUUUUCAAAUUAUAUAUUUUUGAGAAGCAGUUAGGGAAAGCAAUAUUAUAACGUGCAGAUCCACGCAAAAGGACAUCCCAGUUAAAUGCCGGAAUAUUACCGUAAAGGCUCCGUGGAGGUAAAGGCCAAUAGGAAUAAACCCGUUACAAAAUGCACCCCUGACGGCCAGCAUCAAUUUUACCCCCAACUGUUUGUUAUAUUUUACUAAACCUCCCUGCUCGAAAUCGAGGGCCAAUAACUUUAACCAAUUUUAUUUUUAAUUAUAUACGCAAAUGGACCGAAUGCCUUACAAACAGUGACCUCCUGGGGUUAGGCGAUUACGGCGGUAAACCCGGGUCUUUAAAAUAUCCUUGCAAUUUGUAAGCGAGGUGCCCAGGCCCUGUAGCGAUUGCAAUCCAAAGACCGUUUGCACACCGAGUGACGAAUAUAUAUCCCGGGGGCCUGGCGCUCAGGGCUGGCUGACGAUAUACCACAGCGGUUAUGCUGUAGGUUUGCGAGGUACCUUGAGCUUUCCAGGAUGCGGCAGUGAGAUUUGUUUUGCUAUAUAUUGGUUGCUUAUUCGCCAUGGUAUUGGAUUGGGUAUGUUAUUACCUGGGCCUAUUUGAUUUAACAACCGUCGUACACCCUCCGUUUAGCCCCUGUGGAAUUUCGCUAGGAAACCUCGAGGCCUGUAUUUAAUCGGUCCGAAUAAAAUUAAAAAUAUUAUCCAUAAUUGGCAGCGGGAAAUGGAUGUAAAUUUCCCUGUCAGUUAAACCCGAAAUCGACGUCUGGCCAGCUAUAUAAUAAUAAUAUGGAUCUUAUUCCAAUUAGCUUCACCCAUUUUAAGCGUAAGGACGCAAAUCCCCCCGAUAACCUGGAUAUAAAAACCGGUUCCUUUAUUUCCGAAAACGGAGGAGCCCCUGUUUGUUUUAUUAUACCGUGGGAAUAAUUUACAGCAAUAAAUAUUUUGGGAUAAGAAAUGUAUUAAAGCCGAUAAAAUUGUUUGUUUAAAAUAUUAUUUUGGAGCGUAUAAAAUUAAUAAGUUUUUUUCUUUCCUCCUUGGACAUAUUUGAGUUUUGACAGCCAGAUCCUUAAAAAGGCUUAGUUUCAAAUGUUUUGCCAAACCGACACCAGUCCCUUUAUUAACGUUAAUAACCACCGUUACACUGCUUUUUAUUCCUUUGGAAUUUCACCGAAACAAAAAGCAUUAAUUAUUAAAUAUUUGCUAUUUUACGCAAAUACGUUUUUUUAUAAGAGUUUAUUACAUUUAUUGGAAAGCAAAAAGUGGACCACAUUGCUUUUCCCUUGAUUAUAACUAAUGACGUGUCCGAGUCCGCUUUUCGGUAAUUGUAAGGCUAAUAUACGACCGGGAUUUGUAAUGGUCGUGCAUAAGACUUUCUUCGGAACCCGGCUAAUUUUGCGUAUUGCCUGUCCGUGUCGAAUUAAGCCUGCAACCUAACGGGCGUGGAAAUUUAAAAAGUUGAUUAUUGCGUGAUAUUUUUUAAGGUUCGCCAACGCGGCUGUGCAAAAAUUGUGAAAUUGCGACGUGUUACCAAAGAAGUCCGUUGCAUAUUUGCCCAGGUUUGGUUUACCAUUAUAACUUUUUCGCCCAUUUGAUAUUGUACCUUAAAAAUAAUAAGCGGCAAUAUUCCUCAGAGGUUGCAUAACUUUAUUUUAUCUAUUUAGGCGCAGAAUGAGAUAAAUAUUUGCUAGUUAAAUGCCGGAACGCCACCCCAAAUAACUUUUUUUAGGAACGAGUCCCAUAUAAAUCGAAAAUUCCUGCAUUUGGUUAUUCGACGGCUGUAAUAAAUACCUGUUAAAGGAGCUUGCACCAAAGAAAACUGAAACCAUAUAUAUAACCAAGCCAUUCUAAGUUAUUUAUCCCAGCCAAAAGGGCGUCCAUCACGAUGCAAAAGGCCCUCCAUCACCGUGGCACGCUACCUAUAGGGUAGCAAAACGGUUUAGCGUCGUAUGGUAAUGCGUAACGAAACAAAAUGGGCGUUAAUUAUCCAUAAAUUGUUGCUUUUUAAAUGCCGCUAAUGUGCAUUGGAGCGUUUAACCCUUAUAAACCAUUUGCUCCUUUCGAAACGAAGGUUGUGGACGGAAAGAGUGCAUAGCACACCUUAGGCUCGGUUGUUUUGUCCUGCGAAUUUUGCGGGGAAAUUAUAAAUAUAUUACGUACAACUUUGGUUCUAAACCAGGCCGAUAAUUGCAAAAGAAACCCCUCGUUCCUGGAAUGGCCACUAUAACUAUUUUAUCAACGACUUUAAAGUUGACAUUACGGAACCGAGGGCCCCCACAAUUGCAUAUAUGUUUCCUGCAAAUCCCGUGCAUAUUUCUGAAAUAAGAAAACUAUUGUAAAACAGCAUAAAGCUGAAGAUAAUAGCCUAUAAAAUUUGGAAAAGGAUAUAAACUAAUCCGUUCUGCCUUUCGUGGUGUGGUUGUAAGGUUAGGCAUAGGAAUUUCCGCGUUUCAUCUUACCUCCCGAUAUACGGAAAGAAAAAUCUGCUCUUUAAUCAACUUAUACCUCCAGCCUCUAUCUGGUCAAGCAAAAUACCUUCAACUACCGUCAAAUGCGCAUUUUGUGGUGUCGAGUACUCGUCCACCCAGUCUGGUUGUCCUUUCGCAUCCACCCACAAAUAAAGUGUGAGUUCACUCUGAGAUUGGAAAUUUGCAAAGUCCACUAUCUCAUCUUUGGCUCGAUUAUUUAGGAAAAGAUCACUGCGGAACAAAGUUUUUUUCUCGUCUGGAUUGGGGCUAUUUACCGAAUUUGUGGUUUUGUUGCUCGAGACUAUAACCCUACUGGCAAUCCGCCGCGCAAUUUUCUGUCUGUGCGAGGAUUUUAAUAUUCGUUUGAAUGUAUAGUCGCCUUUAAAAUUUUACAUUCGUCAAACAAAUCGAAUUUUUCAAAUGGUAGGAAACUUUGUGUGGCUAUUAAUAACUACUCGAGAAAGUUUCGGUACAUAUUCGAACUCUAAUGUAUUUAUUACAGCUGCGCAGUCAGUUCCUGCCAGUGCGUGUAUAUAGUAUGUGUGGAAUAGGGAACAAUGAGGCAAAGGUAUUGCCAAAUUGCCACGAGUGCGUACUGGUUACUGUACUGGCGCUUAGUUAGGGCACGAUUAUUUAUCUUCCCGUUGACCAGGAAUAUGGCACGGAAUUUUGUGUUUUUAGACAAAGGGAUAGGAUACAAACAACCAGGUGAAUUAUAACAGGUUUUAAUAUUGUAAUUUUUAAACGGUUACCCUAUA
rnacentral:sRNA from 1 species